CUUGGCAAUUAGAAAUGUCUCUCUUUUUGGGGGAAAUAAGCUUAAACCCUUCUACCCCAUUUUUGUUCAACGCCAUUGCUCUCAUCUCUGUGUUAUUUGAAGGACGCCGAUUGAUCUUACACUUCGAUGCUUCAAUGGGUCACUUUGCUUUUUCUGCUGCAGUUGAUUGAAUGCUGCUGUCAUGUCCUUUCUUUCUCAGCUUUGUGUUUGUUUCCCUUACUAUUUGAUCAAGGAGGAGGUUCUUGUUGGGAGUUGUUGUAUGUUUGAAAUGAUGGGUUGGGUUGUCUUUCAUUCACUCUGUUUUGAGUUUUGAAGUCUGGGAGCUGCAAUUUGCUGUAGUUUCUGGAUGGAAUGGAGGGAUUCCUAUUAUUUUUAGUGGGUUAUUUCCAUUUGUUAUGACAUAAAUGCUCACUACAUUUCCAUUUAGAAACAUAAGUCAUCCUUUACAUUAUAAGACGACAUACAUUUGCAAAAACGUAUUCACCUGGAGAAAGGGAUGCUCAAGCAAAGUCCUCAUAAGCUGAUAAAUUGCUUCUGAGGAGUUGAUUAUCCUUCAAAGAUUUCAAUUUCUUGUGAAGGAUAUUUUCUAAAUCAUGGAUUGCUUCAUUCUCCUUCUAUUUGUCAGUUGUUCAAAAUAGGUGAGAAUGAUAGAUUCAUAAUGGGAGAAGUUUGGUUGGAAGAACUGAGAAUAAAAGAAAGUAUUCGCCGUAUAAAAGCAUAUAACUUCUUGGAAUCACAGAGUUGUCUUUUGACUCUUCAUGGCAAGUGGGGCAAUAAUUUUUUAGCAAAGACAUUUCUAAUACUAGCUGAGGCAUCUUGAUCUCAAGAAAGCAAUUCCAGUGCAGGAUGGCCACAUCCCCAUGAUUAUUAUGAGAAGGAAAGCUGGUAAAUUUGCUGAUAAUCUAGUCAGCCAUGAAGCAGAAUAUGAAUUCCCUUCAUAGGCCCCAUAAGGCGAUCCAAAGAAACAUGUUAAAGUAAUUGUUGGUCAAACAAACAUGUGUCCAUUGUUACUGAAAUGUAACUGACCACUGCAUUUGAUGAAAAUUUGUAGCCUAAUUACCCUGUUGUGUACAUAUAUUUGCAGUUAAACAGUACAUUUACUUAUUAUUCAUGUUGCGCUACCUCUUGUCUUGGGUGUUGUCUACUGUAAAGUGUUAAAUGUGGAAAAGUAGAUUUCAAGUGUUUCAGAUUAUGAAUUCCCUCCAUUGUUCUCGUGUCUGCGCUCAACUAGUGUCUUGAGUACCGCCCUCGUCAACUUUUGGUGCUCGGUUUCUGCAGUACUUGUAGGUGCCUGUUUUUUUCUUCUGGCUAAGAAUAGCAUCUAGCAAGGUAUAAGGAUGGUAGGAGGACAAAAUAUACUAAGUAAAUGCUACAAUGUUAUGCCAAUUCUAGUUUUAACCAUCAUUCUUCAAUCUUAGAUAAUGAAGGUAAAGUAGAUGUCAAAGGGAAGGGUGGUGAAAAUGCAUACUAGUUAGAGAAGCCUACCUACGAAGUACAAACGUUAGACAUACUAUUUUGUUCUGUAAGUCGGAAUAUCAUAGGAUUCUCUUAUGUCAAUAUGUUUGAUUUUCGGUUACAAUUACUCUGUCACAGAGAUGGUUGUCUUAAAACUUAAGCUGAGAGCUGAUAGAGCAUAACUCGAACACUGUCCUAUGAUGGCCAUCAUGUGCAAGUGCAAUGGAAGGCUGCAAGCCCAAAUACCAUGAAUAGUACGAGGACUUGGCACUUCUAUACUAGUUUAUCUCUAUAGAAGUCUAGACUGAUUUGCAACUUCACAAUUUUAUGUUUUGUUUGAUUCCUGUCACGUCUAAUCAUGUUUACUUUAAAAACUGUAUGCUUUGGAGAUAUUAUUUUGGUUGCUUGUUACUUUCAUUCAUAGAGCCUGUUCAUCCAAAUUCUCAUGUUUCUUGUUUUACUGGUAUCAAGGUAUCAACUGAAUUUAUGAGAUUCUUUCUACAAUCCCAACCGGGAUCUAAAAACCAACUUCAGAAGAGAAAUCAAAUAUGACCCGUGUCAUUGAAUGAGUGGAAGAUCAGAUCAUUGUAAGAUGCAAAGUUGCUCUUACACGUGUCGUUGAAUGAGUGGAAGAAGGUUAACACAAAUCAGUUCCCAGUACUGUUGAGAAGCUUGAGCUGGAAAACUUCGUUCAAAAGUGAGAACACAAAGAUCAGAUUCAUUGCUAAAGCUUGUUAUCUGCUGAGGAAAGUGUCUUCCAGCUAAGUAUCCAAGCACUUAGCAGAUGCAAUCUGGAAGAAUCAAACUGGGCCAAACCAAUAUGAACUUUUCGAAAGCCGUCAACUUGGGCAAAUCCCUGGAAUCCAUUCAUUUUUUCAUUUCAGUCCCUGACGUGAAGUCGACUUAAUUAAAAAUUUUGAAAGGUCCCAUGUUUCUGUCGUUAUGUCUGUUAAAAAAGAA